AGGUCGGGGACAACAGUUGGAAACGACUGCUAAUACCGGAUGUGCCGAAAGGUGAAAGAUUAAUUGCCUGAAGAUGAGCUCGCGUCUGAUUAGCUAGUUGGUGUGGUAAGAGCGCACCAAGGCGACGAUCAGUAGCUGGUCUGAGAGGAUGAUCAGCCACACUGGGACUGAGACACGGCCCAGACUCCUACGGGAGGCAGCAGUGGGGAAUUUUCCGCAAUGGGCGAAAGCCUGACGGAGCAAUACCGCGUGAGGGAGGAAGGCUCUUGGGUUGUAAACCUCUUUUCUCAGGGAAUAAAAAAAUGAAGGUACCUGAGGAAUAAGCAUCGGCUAACUCCGUGCCAGCAGCCGCGGUAAUACGGAGGAUGCAAGCGUUAUCCGGAAUGAUUGGGCGUAAAGGGUCCGCAGGUGGCAGUGUAAGUCUGCUGUCAAAGAAUGAGGCUUAACCUCAUCAAGGCAGUGGAAACUACACAGCUAGAGUACGGUCGGGGUAGAAGGAAUUCCUGGUGUAGCGGUGAAAUGCGUAGAGAUCAGGAAGAACACCGGUCGCGAAUGCGUUCUGCUAGACCUGUACUGACACUGAGGGACGAAAGCUAGGGGAG
rnacentral:rRNA from 1 species